GAUGAACGCUGGCGGCGUGCCUAAUACAUGCAAGUCGAGCGAACAGACGAGGAGCUUGCUCCUCUGACGUUAGCGGCGGACGGGUGAGUAACACGUGGAUAACCUACCUAUAAGACUGGGAUAACUUCGGGAAACCGGAGCUAAUACCGGAUAAUAUAUUGAACCGCAUGGUUCAAUAGUGAAAGACGGUUUUGCGGUCACUUAUAGAUGGAUCCGCGCCGCAUUAGCUAGUUGGUAAGGUAACGGCUUACCAAGGCAACGAUGCGUAGCCGACCUGGGAGGGGGAUCGGCCACACGGGAACUGAGACACGGUCCAGACUCCUACGGGAGGCAGCAGUAGGGAAUCUUCCGCAAUGGGCGAAAGCCUGACGGAGCAACGCCGCGUGAGUGAUGAAGGUCUUCGGAUCGUAAAACUCUGUUAUUAGGGAAGAACAAAUGUGUAAGUAACUAUGCACGUCUUGACGGUACCUAAUCAGAAAGCCACGGCUAACUACGUG
rnacentral:rRNA from 1 species